CUUCAGCUUCUUGGUUUCUGCACCUUUGAGGCAUGUGUUGGCAUAUUCUGGCCGUCAAUCAUGAAGAUGAGAUCUCAGUACAUUCCUGAGGAAGCGAGAAGCACAAUCAUGAACUUCUUCCGCAUACCACUCAACUUAUUUGUUUGUGUGGUGCUUUACAUCGUGAAUGCAUUCCCUAUCACUGUCAUGUUUGGGAUGUGUUCUAUCUUCCUCUUCAUGGCAGCCAUCUUGCAGAGACGGUUGAUGGUUGUCUCUGAUCU